UGGCGAACGGGUGAGUAACACGUGGAUAACCUACCUUUAUGUGGGGGAUAACUCCGGGAAACUGGGGCUAAUACCGCAUGACAUCAUUCUGGGGCAUCUCAGGAUGAUCAAAGACGUAAGUCGCAAAAAGAUGGAUCCGCGUCCCAUCAGCUAGUUGGCGGGGUAAUGGCCCACCAAGGCUUUGACGGGUAGCCGGACUGAGAGGUCGAUCGGCCACAAGGGGACUGAGACACGGCCCCUACUCCUACGGGAGGCAGCAGUAGGGAAUUUUGGUCAAUGGGGGAAACCCUGAACCAGCGACGCCGCGUGGGUGAUGAAAUCCUUCGGGAUGUAAAACCCUUUUCAUCGAGACGAAAUAAAAAUGACGGUACCGGUGGAAUAAGCCUCGGCUAACUCCGUGCCAGCAGCCGCGGUAAUACGGGGGAGGCAAGCGUUGUCCGGAAUCACUGGGUGUAAAGGGCGUGUAGGCGGGCCAUUAAGUCGAUUGUUAAAUCUCUCCGCUCAACGGAGAAACUGCAGUCGAUACUAUUGGCCUUGAGUGCGGAAGGGGAGAAUGGAAUUCCUGGUGUAGCGGUGAAAUGCGUAGAUAUCAGGAGGAACACCGGUGGCGAAGGCGGUUCUCUGGUCCUGCACUGACGCUGAGGCGCGAAAGCAAGGGGAUCAAACAGACUUAGAUACUCUGGUAGUCCUUGCCCUAAACGAUGGGUACUAGGUGUUCGUCCUUUUUAAGGAUGAGUGCCGCAGCUAACGCAUUAAGUACCCCACCUGGGGAGUACGAUCGCAAGGUUGAAACUCAAAGGAAUUGACGGGGACCCGCACAAGCGGUGGAGGAUGUGGUUCAAUUCG
rnacentral:rRNA from 1 species